UCACGUGUGUAGAAUUUAUUUUUCUCUAUUCAAAUAUUUGACAAUAUUAUCACUAUGAGCUGUGAAGAAAACACAAAGAAAGAAGACGUGUGUGAAAUCUGUGGUGGUAAAGAAGUCAAGUAUCGUUGCCCUUCUUGUAUGAGGCGGACAUGUAGUUUGCAGUGUGUCAAGCAUCAUAAAAAAUCGUAUAAUUGUGAUGGGAUACGUUGUAAAACGACGUAUGUAUCCAAAACUGACUACAACUACAAUAACAUGAUCAGUGAUUACAGGUUCCUGGAAGAUACUGAAAGAGUGGCUUAUAGUGCAAGUUCAAAUAAAAAACACAAAAAUUUCAACCGAUCUG